ACUUUCUUCAUCUCAAGUCCCUUCAUCCAGUCACAUCUGCAAAGUCCCUUUGUGGAAGGUAACACAUCCAGAUGUUCCAGGGAUUAGAAUGCUGGCAUAUUUGGGGGGCCACUAUUCUGACCAUAGGCACCAUCAUUUCCCCUCUCUCAGUCCAAGUUCUUUGGGGGUGAACCCCACCUCCAGCAGAGGAGAAGUAGAAGAUCUUGAUCUAAGCCAAUUGGCACAUCCUAGUGGUUCAGAGGGAAGUGUGACACAGCCAAUGGAAUAAAACAAAACCACACCUCUUAAAUGGGUCUCAGUUUCUUCUGGUUCAAUCAAUCCCUUUCAGAUUAGUUCGGUCUUUCUCAUGUUCAACUCAAGGUUCAAGUCAUGACCAAUGCUACUGGCAUCUCAAAGACUGAUGUGGAUUUAGACCAUCACUGCUGGUAGGUCUCAGCAACAUUCUGCCCCUUCCUGUUUCAUUCUGACCUCACAGUAUCCUACAAGACUGCAUCUCCCCCACUCGCCCUUGCCUCUCUAGACUCACUUACUGCUCCUUCCUUCACUCCGUCUUGCUGCAUAAUACCCUCCAGUUCCAUCCACUUCGAAGCAAAUGGAAGUGAACCCAUGCUGACCACUUAAUGAUUGUUAGGACUCCAGGAACUGGGUCAAGACUCUUCUGGAAAGCCACCAGUUCAUAGAUUAAAAUGGCUGCUCGGGUGUUGAUUUGAAGAGCAGAUUGUGAAGAGCUGACAGUUGUCCUGAGAGAAACUCUCAAACUUCUUCCUUUGUCCUCCGAGGAGACACUGGUGAAUCUCAGGCUGCUUGGGAAGAGCAAUGGAGCUGAGCUGAGCCCAGGUGCUGAGACUAGCAAGCAGGGAUUGGCUUUCAGGGAAGAGCCGGAGGGGAGGGUUCUAUGUGUAUCUCGCUGUCCCAGGAGGUGGCAACGGGUGAAAUCGAGGGGACCAGGUGCUAGUGAAACCACCUCUUGGUGUCCUUGUACAUAUUGAGGGUGGGGGAAAGCCCCAGGGAAAGCCUUGUGGUGCCUGGUGCUUGACUCCUUAAUCCUAUUAUGAAGAUUUGUGUGUCCUUAAUUUGAUAAUUGGGUCAGAUUUAUACAACACUUAGAGUUAUCUGUAAAUGGUAUUAAUUUCAAAUAAGAAUCAGAAUCAUCUUAUUGAGUUCUUUUAGGGUUGAUCAUAAAGCUUCCUGAGGAAGAGAUAUCACUGUCUAACCCCCAAGAAUGACCUUCACAGUAGACCUUCCAGGAUACUUCAGAGAAUGUGCGUCUUCUCUUCCACCAUCACACGGAAGGGGUAGCUUGGCCUUCUCCAUCCAUGUAAUGUUGACUAUUGAGCUACAUCACUUUUUCUUAGGGAAUUCUCCUUAGUGUCUCAACCACAAUAUUUUAACUGUUGUGAUGUGUUUGAAAAGGGAAGCACAAGCAUUUGUUAGAUUCAAGUAACACCUAUGGUUGGAACCUCUUUUAUGCUUUCUAAAACUAGGUAAUACAUUUGAGUCCUUAAUCUCCUGACUGAUUUUGCCUGACUGAUUUUAUUUUGGUGAAAUGGCACUAUGGAAUUUCAAGGUGAACAAAGGAGGGUUCUUGGAAGUUCUGAUGUGUCUUCCCGCAUCUUCAGUCACUGAGGUGAACUCACAUGGGGUUCUAGAUUGUCCGUGGGGGUGGGCCUACAUUCCAUAGAAUUGGGCUAAUGGCUUUUCUAAAAAAAUUUGUCAUUCAAAGUACAUUUUGUUUUAAUUUGGUACCUCCAAAAUCCUGUCCCUCAGACUCUUUCAUUUUUCUUGAAGUUAAACAAUAACCACCUAAAACACAUACUUUUCACUUUUUAAAUAGUAAAUCAAAGGCUAGGAACUCUCAAAAUGAAUUGUUGCAAAAUUCGAUCCUACCACCAGGUGGCAAUGUGGUCUCAUGUCUUGAGGCUUUUCCCAUCAUGGAAAACCCAAGUUGAAAAUCCACAUUUGAAACAAAAUCAAACUAUUAUGUUUUAAAUUCAAAUUUUAAUUACCAAAUUAAGGAAAUGUUUGUUUUGAUUCUAAGGAUAAAUAUAAUACUCCUUGCCCCUCCUUGAUAUAAAGUUUGUUUUUUCCAUUAUAAAAUAAUGGGAUAAUUAUAAUAAUCAUGUGGGUGAACCCUUUAAUCUUUGAUUAAAAGAUAUUAUAGAAUAAUAUCUUUAAUUUAAUUAUUAACUUUCAUCUGUGUGACUUAAUUGGUCGCAGGUAUUAAUUUUUUAUAAUGCCUUAUAAUUGUGUAAGGUGUUACCUGUUUAUUUUUAUCUGGUCCUUCACUCAGACGUUGAAUAACUUUCUGAUUUAAUGAUUGAAGUUACUAAAUUCUAGCUUCGAUAUCUAUCUUCCCUCCCUCCCCAGGUUAACAUGUAAAUGGCUGCCCUAUCUACCAAUUGUCAAAUGGAAACUCUGGCCAAGGGGAGAGCAAAGCUUGAAUAUGGGCUUAAAAAUAACAGUAACUUAAAAAGCAAAAACUUAAGUUUUUUAUUGUAAGAGAGUUAAUAUAUAAUUGUCUUUGAAUUUAUGGUUUUGGAAUGCUAAUGAGAGUAAAGUAAUUUCAUUAACAUUAUUACUUUGAUUUAUUUAUGUAAAGAUUUCAUUUAUUGAUUUGAGAGAAAGAGAGAGCACUGAGGGAGAGGAAGUAGCAGAUUCACUGCUGAGCAGAGAGCCCUACAAGGGGUUCGAUCCCAGGACCCUGAGAUCAUGACCUGAGCCAAAGGAAGACGUUUAACUGACUGAGCCAUCCAGGCAUCCCACAUUAUUACUUUUAAGACCCAAUUUAGCUUUAGCUUUUCUCUGUUCCCAAGCAGGUAUUGUAUAUCCAUCUGGUUGUGUGCACACCUGUUUGGAAUAGAUUUUUUUUUUUUUACCACAAAUUUCUCUGUGAAUUUAUUGAUGAUGAUAUUAGGAACAGAUCGCUAGUUCAUAUUUAGACAAUGUUAGAAUGAACAAUGGAAAAGUUACUAGUUAAUCAGUUCCACCACUUCAUGAAAACAGAAUGGUAUUUUAUGUUUAGAGUAGUAAAAAGUAACAAGUCUUUCAACUGUUAAAUCUCCUUUAAGUAAGGUGAACAGGGAAAUUCUAAAAAUCACAUUUUCUUGACAAUAAGCCUUGGUAGAGAAAUCUGGAUAUGGCGUACAUUCUAGUAAUUCUUAAAACCACACUAUAAUAUGCACAUUAUUGCUUUCUAAAUGCAAUUCAUUCCCCUUUUUCAAAAAUACCUGUGCUGCAAAUGUACAGGUGUGUGCCCCAAACGAAUGGUGCAUUGCCUGUGUCCCACCCAGAGGACUUCUGGGUUACAGUCGUGACUCCCGGGGUGGCACAGAGCGGUCUCAGGAAUAUCUAACACCAUGCUGCAGUUUGAUGUGCCAACGUAGAUUUGUUUGUUGCCAUUAUUUCCUGCUGUGUUCUUGUGAUCAAAAUUCUACUUUAGUUGUUUCUUCAUAGCACUUAUGAUUCCUUCUGUGCUUGCGUUAACUUUUCAUUUGAUAUGUUAAGGAAUGAAGUCAGAAUUCGUGUACAGUAGCCCGUGAGUGGGUCAGCUGUUAACAGGUGGUGGUGACAGGUGGCUGAAGAACUGGCUCCAGCAGUUGAGACUUCACACCCCGCGCUGAGGUUGGCAUCAUCAGAAUUUGUCACUGGACACUACCAGUUUCCUGUGGAAUCUUCGAAGUGCUGAAUGAAAACCACACAGUCAGCCGCUGCCCAGAGGAUCUGCUAGGCAUCCGUGGUCUCCGGAUUUGGUGGCAUUUACAUUUCUAGUUGCGUAUUUCAGUUUCUGCUUGAUUAUAUACUAAUGCUGCAAUUUUUUUUCUCUCUUCUAUAUGUUCUUCUGAAAUAGUUACCACUUUGUAGCUCACUUUGGUUGAGGAAGUGUGAUGAACUCACACCAGCAUCGUGUUAAAUUGCAAUCCAGGGGUCUUCCAAAUGACAGUCCAUCAACCAAAUCUGGCCUGCCUUUGUUUUUCUUAAUGGCCUACAAGCGAAGAAUGGUUCUUACAUUUUAUGGGAGAAAACAGGUUUACCAGGUGUGGUAGGCAGAAAAAUGGCCCCUGAAGGUCCACAUCCUAAUCCCUGGAAACUGGCUAUAUUAUGAACUCUGCUAAAAAAGUGACAUUUCUUGGCCUCCUUCAUAGUUGGGUGGAGAGCCAUGUGACAGAGCUAUGAACAAUCAGAAAAUUUGGUUGGCUUUACCUCUAGAAGCUGUCUUCAGACCAUGAAGCAAAGACUGAGAGGAUCACAUGACUGUCAGCCCUGAAUAUUUGAGCUGCUGAAUUAAUGCCAAUUGGCCUACUCCUGGAUUUCAUGUACCAUGAGAAGAAUAAGCCUAAUUUAUUUAACUGACUUGUGGCCAAAUUUUCUGUAUUUCUAAUUUAUAUAUGACAUUCCACUAAUAUAAAUAUACUUCUUGGGGAGGGGAGUGGGGGGAUGGAGAAACUGGGUGAUGGGCACUAAGGAGGGUACUUGACAGGAUGAGCA